GUGCCAGCAGCCGCGGUAAUACGGAGGGUGCAAGCGUUAAUCGGAAUUACUGGGCGUAAAGCGCGCGUAGGUGGCUUGAUAAGCCGGUUGUGAAAGCCCCGGGCUCAACCUGGGAACGGCAUCCGGAACUGUCAGGCUAGAGUGCAGGAGAGGAAGGUAGAAUUCCCGGUGUAGCGGUGAAAUGCGUAGAGAUCGGGAGGAAUACCAGUGGCGAAGGCGGCCUUCUGGACUGACACUGACACUGAGGUGCGAAAGCGUGGGUAGCAAACAGGAUUAGAUACCCCUGGUAGUCCACGCCGUAAACGAUGUCGACCAGCCGUUGGGUGCCUAGAGCACUUUGUGGCGAAGUUAACGCCGAUAAGUCGACCGCCUGGGAGUACGGCCGCAAGGUUAAAACUCAAAUGAAUUGACGG
rnacentral:rRNA from 1 species